AUGAAUGCUAAAUAUAAACUUGCUGGAGAUAAGGGUAGAAAACAUGUUGUGUUUGCACCUGGAGAUCUUGUUUGGUUACAUUUGCGUAAGGAUAGAUUUCCUGAUUUGCGCAAAUCAAAGCUAAUGCCACGUGCUGAUGGUCCCUUUAAGGUGUUAGAGAAAAUAAAUGAUAAUGCAUAUAAACUUGAGCUGCCUGCAGAUUUUGGGGUUAGUCCCACUUUUAACAUUGCAGAUUUGAAGCCUUAUUUGGGUGAGGAAGAUGAACUUCCGUCGAGGACGACUUCAUUUCAAGAAGGGGAGGAUGAUGAGGACAUCAAUACAAUUGUUACACCCACAGCCCCUGCUGCUAUACAUACUGGACCAAUUACUAGAGCUCGUGCACGCCAACUAAAUUACCAGGAAACAGACCCUCGUGGUCAGGUUGAUCGUGCUCCGGCGUGGUCAAUAACCUCUCGGAGUUGGUUUAGCGAUUGCUAA
rnacentral:rRNA from 1 species